GGCACAAUUGCUGGAUCAUAUGGUAAAAGUAUGUUUAAUUUUGAGAAACUGCCAAACUGUUUUCCAAAGUGGUUGUAUCAUUUUGCAUUCCCACCAGCAAU
rnacentral:pre_miRNA from 1 species